AUUGAACGCUGGCGGAAUGCUUUACACAUGCAAGUCGAACGGUAGAGGGGGCAACCCCUCGAGAGUGGCGAACGGGUGAGUAAUAUAUCGGAACGUGCCCAGUCGUGGGGGAUAACGUAGCGAAAGUUACGCUAAUACCGCAUACGAUCUAAGGAUGAAAGCGGGGGAUCGCAAGACAUCGCGCGAUUGGAGCGGCCGAUAUCAGAUUAGGUAGUUGGUGGGGUAAAGGCUCACCAAGCCAACGAUCUGUAGCUGGUCUGAGAGGACGACCAGCCACACUGGAACUGAGACACGGUCCAGACUCCUACGGGAGGCAGCAGUGGGGAAUUUUGGACAACGGACGCAAGUCUGAUCCAGCCAUUCCGCGUGCAGGAUGGAGGCCCUCGGGUUGUAAACUGCUUUUGUACGGAACGAAAAGGUCUCUCUUAAUACGGGGGACUCAUGACGGUACCGUAAGAAUAAGCACCGGCUAACUACGUGCCAGCCGCCGCGGUAA
rnacentral:rRNA from 1 species